rnacentral:rRNA from 1 species
UACGUAGGGGGCAAGCGUUGUCCGGAAUCAUUGGGCGUAAAGCGCACGUAGGCGGCCCUGUAAGUCCGUUGUGAAAGUCAAAGGCUCAACCUUUGAAUGCCGAUGGAUACUGCAGGGCUAGAGUCCGGAAGAGGCGAGUGGAAUUCCUGGUGUAGCGGUGGAAUGCGCAGAUAUCAGGAGGAACACCAAUAGCGAAGGCAGCUCGCUGGGACGGUACUGACGCUAAGGUGCGAAAGCGUGGGGAGCAAACAGGG